UUCAAAAUUAUAUUGCUAUUCCCUAGGCGUGUUAUUACUGCAAACCUUCUCACUUCUCUCUCAAACCUCUCUUCCCUUUUCUCUGACUUUUUUUCUUUUUCACUACUCUCUCUGUUUUCAAUCUUCUUCCUCACAACUGGGGACAUCAUCUUCUUUAUCAUUUCAUUCAUCAUCAAUGGAAUCUGAAACGGCUUCUGACUGGACCACCAGAUCUGAAAUUAAAACCACAAAAAUCAUCACCAGGCAUUGUUCUACAUCAAUGAGCCAUAACAUAUCUAUUUCC